rnacentral:rRNA from 1 species
CCUACGGGGGGCUGCAGUGGGGAAUAUUGGACAAUGGGGGAAACCCUGAUCCAGCAAUGCCGCGUGGGUGAUGAAGGCCUUCGGGUUGUAAAGCCCUUUCGGCGGGGACGAUGAUGACGGUACCCGCAGACGAAGCCCCGGCUAACUUCGUGCCAGCAGCCGCGGUAAUACGAAGUGGGCUAGCGUUGUUCGGCAUUACUGGGCGUAAAGGGCGCGUAGGCGGCCCCGCGCGUCGAGCGUGAAAGGCCUGGGCUCAACCCAGGAAUGGCGUUCGAUACGGCAGGGCUCGAGUGCAGGAGAGGAUGGUGGAAUUCCCAGUGUAGAGGUGAAAUUCGUAGAUAUUGGGAAGAACACCGGUGGCGAAGGCGGCCAUCUGGACUGCAACUGACGCUGAGGCGCGAAAGCGUGGGGAGCAAACAGGAUUAGAUACCCGUGUAGUC